ACCCCUCGCGCCUUCUCUUCUCCCGAUCUCCUGCCCUAACCGCUCAUCUCCUCCAAAUCGUCGCGACGCCUCGCCUUUGCCCGCGUACAAGACCUCUCGGAGUAUGGAAACCUCGAGCCGAUUUCUCCUCUUCUCUUCUCCUUCUUCCUCCCCGGAGCCUUCCCAAGCGCCGGUGAGCGUGAGCCACUGCCGGUCGAACCGUCGCCUGUGCCCUAGCACCCUCCGCCGAUCUCCCUUCUUUUCCGACGACGCCACACGAGCGCCGGCCACCUUGCUUGUCACGCGCGCCACCACCGUCCUGGCGCCACUUCCUCUUCCUCUGCCCUAGCCCUAGUUUCCACUGCCGCCAGUUGCCGGCCGAAGUUCAUCUCCUCCUCUCCACUCUAUCCGGCGCCAUGCCCUAGUUCUUCUAGGUUGGCUACUACCGCCAGUUGUCGGCCGAAGUUCAUCUCCUCCUCUCCACUCUAUCCGGCGCUAGUUCUGCUAGGUUGGCUAUGGUCGGCCUACCAAAUGGUGGCUUGCGUCAUCUUGGAUCAGAGAGGAAAAUCUGUUGGGAGACAAAGAUUUAGCUUCCUUAAUCCAUCGUCAACAAAUCUGUGGUAGCAGUGGCUUCAUCGUUGCUCCAACAACAACUUCCAGCGGCUGCAUUUCCUGGCCGUGUGUCAAUAGGGAGCAAUCAUAAUACGGGAACAUUUGAUGUGGAGGACAACAACAUUAAAAAUGCUCCGGCUAUUGGUUUCCGACACUUUCCGACAACAAGCACAUCCGGCAGUGACUCAACAGCUCGGGCAUUCAGAUUUCGGCUUCUUGACUCUACCAUCCACUUUGGAGGUCCUUGUUUCGACCGUGAGUAGAGAGUUGACAGCCCUACAGUGGUGGUUGGUGUUGAGUCUUUGUAGCUUGGCCAACAUUGUUCACUAGCGAUCCACAGCACCAGACAUUCUGUUUUGGGCAGGGAACCCCUUCGACCAUGAGCCAUCAGUGAUCCUCUUGGAUUUGGGUACCAGAUUAUUUAUGGAGUCAUUUGGAGUAUCCUACCUGCCGGUCCCCACGUCACAUCAGAAGUUCUGUCUCCGUUUUUAUUUAUUUGUAUUUUGAUAUAUGAAUUUGUGUAUUUAGCUUUGUAUUCCGGCUUUGUUCCUGGGGUGUUAUUUUGUUGUGUGGUGUAAGCCUAGCCGGCUAGCAGUCUUCGUUUAUAGUUGUGUGUGUUGUCUAUUGGAUUUCCGCUGUGUUUGGUUUUGUGGUAUCAGCCGAGUAGGCUGCAUAUAAACUGC